rnacentral:rRNA from 1 species
UACCAGCACCCCGAGUGGUCGGGACGUUUUAUUGGGCCUAAAGCAUCCGUAGCCGGUUCUACAAGUCUUCCGUUAAAUCCAACUGCUUAACAGGUGGGCUGCGGAAGAUACUAUAGAGCUAGGAGGCGGGAGAGGCAAGCGGUACUCGAUGGGUAGGGGUAAAAUCCGUUGAUCCAUUGAAGACCACCAGUGGCGAAGGCGGCUUGCCAGAACGCGCUCGACGGUGAGGGAUGAAAGCUGGGGGAGCAAAC